rnacentral:sRNA from 1 species
ACUCUUGUGGCAGCUGUGCUUCACAUCCCACAGAACACCAGUGCCUUGGGGUACCUAGGCCAGGGCCUGGCACACAUUUUUGUUUUAAAUACUGAACAGAGGGAUAUUGAGUCCAUCCACAAGUACUGGUUCAGUGUGUCUCCCCACAGCCAACCUCCAGUGCCAGUUCAUAUUGGUGAGACUCAGCAACCAACUUGGUUUGCAAAGUGACCCCAUCAGACAGGAAGGACAUUGCCUUCCUAACAGCAAAUGAGAAACGACGGAGCCUUGGACUUUUUUUUUUUUUUUAAUAUUUCAUAGCAUGACAUCCAGGUCAGACCCAGCUGCUUUUGAGUCCCGCCUGGAGAAACGCAGUGAAUUUCGGAAGCAGCCAGUGGGGCAUUCCAGGCAAGGUGAUUUUAUCAAAUGUGUGGAACAGAAGGGUGGUGCACAGAACAAACUGGUGUAGGAGAGGCCAGCACCAGGGAGAAUAUGGAGUAAUCCAGGUGUGGGCUGCAGAAGCCUGAAUUAAGACAGAUGCCUUGGGGAAACAGUCUGUGAACAGAG